AGGUCAUUUCAAAGAGGGCUUGUGGGCUGCGGACUCAAAGUGCUUUCAGGUUGUGACCAAAGAUGGACACAUUCCACAAGAUGACGUAGUCAAUGGGGCUGUGUUUUUCUGGUAAAUAUCUACA
rnacentral:snoRNA from 1 species